rnacentral:lncRNA from 1 species
GCGGCGGGAAGACGGCCGUGCGGCGGCGCCCUCGACCACCGAUGUCGGACGAAGACGACGACGAGCUCGUCCGGGCCGUGCGGCGGCGUCCUCCGGGCCGUGCGGCGGCGCCCUCGAAGACAGCAGCGCGGCGCGGAUCUGGAAGACGGCGGCGGCGGGAAGACGGCCAUGCGGCGGCGCCCUCAACCACCGAUGUCGGACGAAGACGACAACGGGAGCAGCGUCAGGGUCGUCGCGACGUGGAGCGGCAACGGGGCCCUAAGCAAAGACUCGCAGCGUAAAGACGCCAUGCCCGCCUCCUCCCAAGAACCGAGCAGCUCGUCGACACCCAAACCCAAAAGAGAGGCGCGGCGCGGCGCGUCGUUGUCGUCGCGUCGAUCGAUCGCAUCAACCCAACCCUACCAAAUAUAA